CCUACGGGUGGCAGCAGUCGAGAAUCAUUCACAAUGGGGGAAACCCUGAUGGUGCGACGCCGCGUGGGGGAAUGAAGGUCUUCGGAUUGUAAACCCCUGUCAUGUGGGAGCAAAUUAAAAAGAUAGUACCACAAGAGGAAGAGACGGCUAACUCUGUGCCAGCAGCCGCGGGAAUACAGAGGUCUCAAGCGUUGUUCGGAAUCACUGGGCGUAAAGCGUGCGUAGGCUGUUUCGUAAGUCGUGUGUGAAAGGCGCGGGCUCAACCCGCGGUCGGCACAUGAUACUGCGAGACUAGAGUAAUGGAGGGGGAACCGGAAUUCUCGGUGUAGCAGUGAAAUGCGUAGAUAUCGAGAGGAACACUCGUGGCGAAGGCGGGUUCCUGGACAUUAACUGACGCUGAGGCACGAAGGCCAGGGGAGCGAAAGGGAUUAGAUACCCGAGUAGUC
rnacentral:rRNA from 1 species